GAUGAACGCUGGCGAGAUGCCUUACACAUGCAAGUCGUACGGGAAUUUUUAAUUCAAGUGGCGGACGGGUGAGUAACACGUAAGAAUUUGCCUUUAGGAGGGGGACAACAACUGGAAACGGUUGCUAAUACCCCAUAUGCUUUCGAGUGAAAUGGAUUUUUCCGCCUAAAGAGAAGCUUGCGGCUGAUUAGCUUGUUGGUGAGGUAAUGGCUCACCAAGGCGACGAUCAGUAUCUGGUUUGAGAGGAUGAUCAGACACACUGGAACUGAGACACGGUCCAGACUCCUACGGGAGGCAGCAGUGGGGAAUUUUCCGCAAUGGGCGAAAGCCUGACGGAGCAAUCUCGCGUGAGGGAUGACGGCCUAUGGGUUGUAAACCUCUUUUUCAGGGAGGAACAAAAUGACGUGUACCUGAAGAAUAAGCAUCGGCUAACUCCGUG
rnacentral:rRNA from 1 species